rnacentral:sRNA from 1 species
AGGUUCGAUUCGAGCGAAAGCGAGAAAGCGUUGCCAACGGCAACGACCCGAAGGGCGAAGCGCGCAGCGCUGAGUA